rnacentral:rRNA from 1 species
UGGGGAAUAUUGCACGAAUGGGCGCAAGCCUGGAUGCAGCCAUGCCGCGUGUAUGAAGAAGGCCUUACGGGUUGUAAAGUACUUUCAGCAGUGAGGAAGGUGGGUAUGUUAAUAGCAUACUCAUUUGACGUUUAGCUGCAGAAGAAGCACCGGCUAACUCCGUGCCAGCAGCCGCGGUAAUACGGAGGGUGCGAGCGUUAAUCGGAAUUACUGGGCGUAAAGCGCAUGCAGGUGGUUUGUUAAGUCAGAUGUGAAAGCCCGGGGCUCAACCUCGGAAUUGCAUUUGAAACUGGCAAACUAGAGUACUGUAGAGGGGGUAGAAUUUCAGGUGUAGCGGUGAAAUGCGUAGAGAUCUGAAGGAAUACCGGUGGCGAAGGCGGCCCCCUCGGACAGAUACUGACACUCAGAUGCGAAAGCGUGGGGAGCAAACAGGAUUAGAUACCCUGGUAG